UCCGUCUCUCCCCUCUCCCAUUUCCUCGCCUUUUCCCUUCCUCUCGAUCCUCCUCGUCGUCGCGCCUCGCGAGCUAGGGUUUCCCCCCUCCCCCUCCCCUCGCCGUCGAUCCCGUCGAGCCAUGUCGAAGCAAGGAGGGAAGGCCAAGCCCCUGAAGGCGCCCAAGACCGAGAAGAAGGAUUACGACGAGAGUGAUCUCGCGUACCUGCAGAAGAAGAAAGAUGAGGAAAAGGCACUAAAGGAGCUGAAGGCCAAGGCAUCCCAGAAGGGUGCACUGGGAGGCUCAGGUCUGAAGAAAAGUGGAAAGAAAUGAGGCUGGUUACCAAUCUGUAAUGCCCUAAAAUGAUAAACCAGCUACCUAUUUGUGUUGCACAUCACUAUGUGCGGAUGUAACAAACUACCUUUAAGCAUGUUAUGCAUUUAGCAAUGUUGCAGUUGGUUGCUUGAUCCGAAGAUGUUUCGGCCUCUCUUCUGCUAGCUAUGAUACAUCUGGUUCCCUAUGAUGAUAAUAUAACAUAAUUCAUGCUGAAAGCUUUGGUUGUUUG